GGUUGUUUGGCCGAGCGGUCUAAGGCGCCUGAUUCAAGCUUAUGCUUAACACUAAUAAAGUGGGAUUCUCAGGUAUCGUAAGAUGCAAGAGUUCGAAUCUCUUAGCAACCA
rnacentral:tRNA from 1 species